rnacentral:rRNA from 1 species
GGUGAGAGUGGCGAACGGGUGAGUAACACGUAGGUGAUCUAUCUUGAGGUCUGGGAUAGCUUGUGGAAACACUGGGUAAUACUGGAUGCGACCUGUAGUUUGCGGACUAUGGGGGAAAGCCGCUUAGGCGGUGCCUUAAGCUGAGCCUGCGUCUCAUUAGUUAGUUGGUGGGGUAAUGGCUUACCAAGGCGACGAUGAGUAGCCGGCCUGAGAGGGUGAUCGGCCACACUGGGACUGAGACACGGCCCAGACUCCUACGGGAGGCAGCAGCUAAGAAUCUUCCGCAAUGGGGGGAACCCUGACGGAGCGACGCCGCGUGGACGAAGAAGGCCGGAAGGUUGUAAAGUCCUUUUCCUGGGGGAGAAUAAGGUAUGGAGGGAAUGCCAUACAGAUGACGUGAACCAGGGAAUAAGCCCCGGCUAAUUACGUGCCAGCAGCCGCGGUAACACGUAAGGGGCGAGCGUUGUUCGGAUUUAUUGGGCGUAAAGGGCGUGUAGGCGGUGAGAUAAGACUGGUGUGAAAGAUCCCGGCUCAACCGGGAGAGCGCGCUGGAAACUGUCUUACUUGAGUGAUGGAGGGGGAGCUGGAAUUCCUGGUGUAGGGGUGAACUCUGUAGAGAUCAGGAAGAACACCGGAGGCGAAGGCGAGCUCCUGGCCAUUUACUGACGCUGAGGCGCGAAAGCGUGGGGAGCGAACAGGAUUAGAUACCCUGGUAGUCCACGCUGU